GACUCAUUUCUGGUCCCCAGGUGUCCCCUAAAGGCCUACCUGCCCACUCAGUCCCCCAGCCUGUCUCAUCUCAUUGUAGUCCUGUGCUGUAACUCUGUGACUCUUACACUUACAGAAGCAGCAAGACCUGGAGACAGCAGCAUGUUAAAUUGUGGAGCUGGAAUUCUACUCAGGUCUAUCUAAAGCCAACAUCUAUGCUUUUAACCAUGGCCCAGAAGAUUAUUUUUCUUUUAAAAAGAUUAUCUCUUCAGGAUGUGGCAGGGGGAGCGAUAACUUGGGCAGGCGGGGGGGAACGUGGCGGAGGGAGAGGGUUUUGUUGUUGCUGUUGGUGUUUUAGGUUGGAAGGAAUUUAAAUAUGUUAUUGCUCCAGAGAAGAGCCUGAGAACAAAGGCUUGGUGUCAGAAUGCUGAAUGAAUGAGGAAUUCCAGGAUUCUGGAAAGACCCAAUGAUUCUUGCUUUGGGGAUUCAAACAUAAACUAGAAGGAUGUGCCCUGUUCUUCUCACCUUACAGAUGGUACGUAAACAAAAUGGUCAUGCAAAAGCAACCAGCUCAAUCCUGGGAUUGUGCUUUGAUAGCACUCAGACAUUUGUGACUAGCGGUAAUGUAUUUUUACCAUCCCUCACCUCCAUUUCCGUUUGCCCGAGCUUUGCUUUUCUUUUCUUUUCUUUUCUUUUCUUUUCUUUUCUUUUCUUUUCUUUUCUUUUCUUUUCUUUUCUUUUCUUUCUUUUCUUUUUUUCUUUUCUUUUAUUAUUUCAUUAUUUAUUUUAUUUUAUCAUUUUAAUUAAUUAAUUAAUUAAUUAAUUAAUUUUUGGAUAAAUGAGUGGAAGAACGAGUUGAGGAUUCAGGAGUGGGUUGGGAACUGUAUUAGUUUCCUAGGGGACCACAAUAACUGCCACCUUUGUGGCUUAAGACAAUAGAAAUUUAUUCUCUCACAGUUCUGGAAUCCAGAAAUCCUAACUCAAAGGGCAGGGCUCACCUCCUUCAGCUGCUGGUGGAAGCACCACUCAAAUCUCUGACUGUGUUUUCACAUGGACUUCUCUUCUCUCUCAUCUGCAAAGACCUACAGAAGAUCCAUGUCUGGGAUGCCUGGGUGGCUCAGUGGUUGAGCUUCUGCCUUUGGCUCAGGGCGUGAUCCCAGGAUCUGGGAUCGAAUCUCACAUUGGGCUCCCUGCAUGGAACCUGCUUCUCCCUCUGCCUCUGUCUCUGACUCUCUUUCUCUGUGUCUCUCAUGAAUAAAUAAAUAAAAUAUCUUUAAAAAAAGCA
rnacentral:lncRNA from 12 species